UACGUAGGUGGCAAGCGUUAUCCGGAAUUAUUGGGCGUAAAGCGCGCGCAGGUGGUUCUUAAGUCUGAUGUGAAAGCCCACGGCUCAACCGUGGAGGGUCAUUGGAAACUGGGAGACUUGAGUGCAGAAGAGGAAAGUGGAAUUCCAUGGUGUAGCGGUGAAAUGCGUAGAGAUAUGGAGGAACACCAGUGGCGAAGGCGACUUUCUGGUCUGUAACUGACCACUGAGGCGCGAAAGCGUGGGGAGCAAACAGGAUUGAGAAACCC
rnacentral:rRNA from 1 species